CAGCCGCCGCGGGAAUACGUAGGUGGCAAGCGUUGUCCGGAUUUAUUGGGCGUAAAGCGAGCGCAGGCGGUUUCUUAAGUCUGAUGUGAAAGCCCCCGGCUCAACCGGGGAGGGUCAUUGGAAACUGGGAGACUUGAGUGCAGAAGAGGAGAGUGGAAUUCCAUGUGUAGCGGUGAAAUGCGUAGAUAUAUGGAGGAACACCAGUGGCGAAGGCGGCUCUCUGGUCUGUAACUGACGCUGAGGCUCGAAAGCGUGGGGAGCGAACAGGAUUAGAUACCCGCGUAGUCCCUGUCUCUUAUAC
rnacentral:rRNA from 1 species